rnacentral:rRNA from 1 species
UACGUAGGUGGCAAGCGUUGUCCGGAUUUACUGGGCGUAAAGAGCGCGCAGGCGGUCGUUCAAGUCGCGUGUGAAAGCCCCCGGCUCAACUGGGGAGGGUCACGCGAUACUGAUCGACUGGAAGGCAGGAGAGGGUAGUGGAAUUCCCGGUGUAGUGGUGAAAUGCGUAGAUAUCUGGAGGAACACCGGUGGCGAAGGCGACAUCCUGGACCGGUAUUGACGCUGAGGCGCGAAAGCCAGGGGAGCAAACGGG